AUUUUAGAGUAAUUCAUGUAAGGUACAGCCUGCUUGAAACAGGAUACAACCUGGAUAUGAGGGUAAACAUUUCCUUUAAGCGACAAAGUGGGCCUAAAAGCAGCCACCUUUCAAAAAGCGUCACAGCUUUAUCGCACAAUAAACUAAUUCCAAACAUUUUAAUGAACCCCACCUCCAUAUCAAGCAAUUCUAUAUUAUUAUAGAAACUUUUAUGUUAAAACUAGUAACAAGAAGAAGAACUUCUCCACAAUGCAAGUGUAAAUCAGAAAGGACCCACCACUGAUAAUUAACACCUAUGAAUCUAUAGUAGUAACCCAACAAGAAAACUCUACUUAACCUAAUGUUAACCUAACACAAGAGCAUUACAGGAAAGAUUAAAAAAGAAAGAAGGAACUCGGCAAACUUUAACCCCGCCUGUUUACCAAAAACAUCGGCUUUUUGAUCAUAUAAUAGGACCAGACUGCCCAGUGACUCUGAUUAACGGCCCGCGGAUC
rnacentral:rRNA from 1 species